rnacentral:rRNA from 1 species
UAAGACGAAGGGGGCUAGCGUUGUUCGGAAUUACUGGGCGUAAAGCGAGUGUAGGUGGUUGUCCAAGUUGGAUGUGAAAGCCUUGAGCUCAACUCAAGAAAUGCAUUCAGGACUGGGCGGCUAGAGGACCGGAGAGGAUAGUGGAAUUCCCAGUGUAGUGGUGAAAUACGUAGAGAUUGGGAAGAACACCAGUGGCGAAGGCGGCUAUCUGGACGGUUUCUGACACUAAGACUCGAAAGCGUGGGGAGCAAACAGGAUUAGAUACCCUGGUAGUCCACGCCGUAAACGAUGGGUACUAGGUGCCUGGGGGAGCGACCCUCUGGGUGCCGGCGCUAACGCAGGAAGUACCCCGCCUGGGGAGUACGACCGCAAGGUUG